rnacentral:rRNA from 1 species
UACGUAGGGUGCGAGCGUUGUCCGGAAUUACUGGGCAUAAAGAGCUCGUAGGUGGUUUGUCGCGUUGUUCGUGAAAACCUGAGGCUUAACCUUGGGCGUGCGGGCGAUACGGGCAGACUGGAGUACUGCAGGGGAGACUGGAAUUCCUGGUGUAGCGGUGGAAUGCGCAGAUAUCAGGAAGAACACCCGUGGCUAAGGCGGUUCUCUAGUACGGUACUGACGCUGAGACGCGAAAGCGUGGGGAGCGAACAGG